AAACCGCCUCAUAAGUUUUGCAACUGUAGCAGUUUUGGCCCCCUCAAGACCAAAUUUUGGUAAAAAAAAAAACAAUGUGGCACCUCACUUAGGGUGUCACGUCAGCGUAGACCGAGUCAAAAUUGGCCUUGGAGGCCAAAACUGCCACAGAUGCAAAGCUUAGGGGUUGGUUU
rnacentral:pre_miRNA from 1 species